rnacentral:rRNA from 1 species
GACGAACGCUGGCGGCGUGCCUAAUACAUGCAAGUAGAACGCAGUUGCGAACGGGUGAUUCACGCGUAGGUAACUGCCUCAUAGCGGGGGAUAACUAUAGGAGAAGUUAGCUAAUACCGCAUACUGUGAGAUGGACCUGCGUUAUAUUAGCUAGUUGGUGAGGAAAAGGCACACCAAGGCGACGAUUCAUAGCCGAGCCGAGAGGGUGGUCGGCGACACUGGGACUGGUGAGCGGGCCAGCAUGCUACGGGAAGCAGCAGUAGGGGAACUUCGGACAUGGACGGAAAGCUUACCGAGCAAGUCCGCGUGGUGGGAUAAGGUUUUCGGAUCUUAAAGCUCUGUUGUUAGGGAAGCGGUAACUAACCAGAAAGGGCCGGCUAACUACGUGCCAGCAGCCGCGGUAAUAC